CCCUCCAUCUUCGAUGAUACUUUUUGAUCAAGAUAUGUAAAUGGAUAUCCGAUAAGAGAGAAAUGUAUAUAUUUAAGUAUAAUUUAUCGGCGAUGCUGAGAUCAAUUUGUAACCGACAGCUUUAUUGGAGGUAUAUUCGGAGUGUGUGUACGAAGGUUCGGUUCGUCGAUUCUGGGACGUAACUUUCCAUAUGGAAUAACAUCGACUCCACCUCUUGUGUCGCGGGUAUACCGGCCGGCGCAUUGGAAGUUGAGAAGUAGCCAGGUAAAAUUAUGGGAGACAGGCAUCACCGGCAACGUUAAUACAAUGUAUGGUGUACAACAAUUUUAAGCCCUGGGCAGACAGGUUACGUUAAAUUUGAUACUGAAGGGGGAAGACCAGGUUUGCGGUUGGCUGGUCGGUGGUUGCCGGUUUUACGAUCCCUUGGCGAUGCAUCGCCGAACGAGCAAUCAACAUCUUUGAAUUCCCUUCUGCUGCUAGUCAGUUUAAGUUUAUCGCAAAUGACAGAGUGGCGUAUACAGUUCGAGUAUGGGAGUCGAGUGGAGUGGCGUUGCACGGAUUGGAUUGUAGCGGCGACGGAGUGGAGUCGAGUUUAGUCGAGUGGAGUUGGGAAGAGCGUGGAGUGGAGUUGAGCGGCGCACCUACCUCGAAGCGAUAUUUCAAUUGGACGCAUAUAAUAUUCAUUUGUUAUUUACUUUGACAGGCAGUCGCUGGGACCACUCCGUAAAUCAAACGGCGAUUAAUUAGAAAUCGAGUCUACCCCCACCUUACCCCGAACUUCGCGAGGGUCUACAGAAGUCUAGCCACCGAUUCCUGCAGUCGCCGCGUCGGUUGCUACACCGACACACACCGGGGCGGACUUGCAUCGAGCGGCGACCGAACCGGAGGGAGGAUUUAUCGACCGUCUCUCACCUGGAGCAGACUAAUCACCUUCGGUCGAUUCUAAUAAUCCGAGAAUUUACAAUGUCGGCUACCGGGUUAACCGGAAACACGGGGUCACUCGAUAUUCGCCGAUUACAAGCUCGGAGCGCUCGAAGUUUCGCUAUUGAAUUUUUCAUCGGACGAAAAUUGGAGCAUUUCUUUUUAUUUGUUGUUCCAUUCUCCAGUCUCGAUGAAAAUUCGCAAAAUCAUCUCGGCGAUCGGAAGGCAUUGAGAUAGUGAAAAGUAAAUAGGAAACGAAAGUGACGAGGGUUAUAGAUUUUUCUUCCCCGGAGAAAAAAGCAAAGUUAUUUAUUACUUUUACCUAGACCUUUACAUCUCGCGGAUGCAUGUGUGUACGGUUUCUCAUCACUGGAAGAAUUAGAAAAUCACACGCACCGCCAUUUUGUCUGUCCUUAUUUACCCUCGUAGCGAAUGACAGAUGUAUUCAAGUUCUAUGCAAAGUUAAAUUUAAUUUUUCAUCCGGGGAAAUAGCUUACGGGCCAGUAGCCAGAGUCAGUCACCUUUGAACGUUCGUCGUCUUGCAGCACGUUCUGCACAGGUGACCUAAUUCCCAAGACAAUAACGUCUGGCCGGUUCUAAGAAAGAUGCGAAAAAAAAAGAGAAAAAGAAAAAAUUUCAAAACAAGAGAAAUAAAACGACGAAUAAACUAAAAACGAACAAAAUGAAAAAAAAAAAAAAAAAAAAACAGACGGAGGAAAGGGAACGAAAAAAGAAGGGGUUCCCUCGUUGGGUUGCCUCGUAUUACAUAAUAUCGACGCGGCCUUGCAUUCCGUUGUCUUGCCGCGAUUCGCUCCGGGCGAUGGUCAGCUAAAGGCGUUCGUGUCCCUCCGGUUAAGAAACUGCGGGUUCACUUCCGCCAUAGGUACCCCGUGCAAAUAUUGCGUAGCGUACCUAUUCGAAUGAGAUUCGAAAAUGGGGGCGGAGGGGAUGCGGAAAAAGAAGAAAAUGUUACGUAAGAAAAAGUGUCCGAUCACUUUUACUUUGAAUUUUCGAAGGUACAGGGCUGACAGCACUGGUUUCUCCAUCUAUAUAAUAUCAUUUUUCUCUUUUAUUGCAAGAUGUCCGUCGGGUGGUGAAAAUUGAAUUUUUUAAACGCGUGUAAAGGUGCAGCCGUUAAAAGUGGGAAUGGUUCGUAAAUCGUCACUCGGUUAGCUACCAGUCGAUACGUAGAUACGCAUAGGGUGGCGUGUGAGUGGAGUAAAAACGAUCGGCAUUGGUAAAUGAGACAGGAGGAGAAACAAAAUAAUAAAGAUCGAGACAAAAAGUCAAAGAAAACUAUCAAUGGAAAGGGUAGGAGGAGAAAAAGCGAGAUGCAGAGAGGAAGAAAUAGGGUUGACGUUUACGAGCUAAUAAUAUGCCCUAGCAACCCCAUACCCUUUACGCUCUAUUUAAUCAUUCACUCUUCGCAACGGGAAAUACUCGUACACGUAAUACGCGAUCAUCACCUCCGAUCACCUUCAUAAUUCUCUCCCGUGAACGUACAUAUACAUAUAUUCCCGUAUAAAAUGAGGGGAAAAUAUAUUCAAGGUAUGUGGACACGCGUUACUAUGAGAAUGAGGAAACUGAUUUUAACAUUGCUUCGACAUACUGAGAUUCUUGUACACCUACUUUUUCCCCUCCCUUUUUCUUCGUACGUGUAUCCGCUUGUACUUUUGCAGCAAUGGAUACUGUUCGGAUGUAAUAGGGUUGUAAAACGUGUCGAGGUUAUUUUAACGAUGAACUCGAGAUAGGUAUACGGGAAAUCGUUGUAAAUCGUAAAAUGGACUUUUUCCCGUAAAAUGGUAAAAUGUUAAGCUGUUGAAACGGCCGCGAAGCUAGCGAGAAAUCCAUAAAACUAGACACUUUCUAUCUGACAUGCAGAAGCACUGAGUUGCUAUCGCCGCAUAUAUUUCACGUUUAUUUGUACAACAGGUAUCUUUUGAUAAAACGCCAAAUUACCCUUAUUCUACUGCAUCGAUUAUACGUUUCACGGUAAUCUGUAAACAUGAAUUUUCUUAAGACCGUCCUAGCAUUUCCUUCGUUUAUUAAUACGAAAGAUCUCUUCGCGAAGUUCAGUUUUGGAUUGGCCAUGGAAACAAAUAUGCUAAGAUAAUAGCAAAACUACACAAGGUACAUGGAAACAGGGUGAGCAGCGUCUAUAAAAAAAAAGUGCAAUAUACGAAAUAUAAAGAAAUAAAUGAAUAAAAAUCAAAGGGGUGUGAGAAACGUGGUGUACCGCAGCUCAAGAACGAAAAGGAAUAGCUGACGGCGAAGCGGUAGCUGUAGCCAGGCACCACUCAAAUUGAUCAGAUUUCCGCGGUUUAUUUGUUGCCGCUACCAGAGUCUUAUAUACGGUAUGGGAAGCUGUACGAAGUAGAUAUAGAGACUGUUGCAAGUGCAGCAUCUGGAAAGGUAUACCGAACAGCAGCAGCGGCAUCGGCAACAACUGGUUUAACGCGGUUUUGCAAUUUAUUUAUUCUAUGGUUUACAAUCACGCGGCGCUUCAUUUUACAACUUACACUGUAGACACUGUGUUGCUUUACGGCGAUACUGCAGCGGGUAUACAUCUCGGCGAGAUCCCGCAAGAUCUGUUGCAGUUUUCAACUCCACUUUCUAGCGAGUCCCAAUGGGAUUCGACUCGUCACUAUAUGCAGAUGUACGGAUACUUAUAUCACAACCCUUCGAUUUACGAUAUCCAACGAUAACGUUUUACGUCCACGAAUUUCCCGUCGGUGUGUAACACCUUUUAUUUAUUUAUUUGUCUUUAUCGUGCGAGAAAUCUUACUCAGUUGCAACACUAAAAGAUGCGACGCAGAGUAUUAGAGUUAAUUUUACGAGUGCGACGGCCGACGACGACGAGGAUGAGGAUACGACAUAUACCUCAUACCGUUGAAGUGUAUGAUGCACAGCCUGAGGCUGUAUAGAUAUGCAGUUUACUACGUGCCUAGAUACAUAUUUACGCGUCACCUCGCCGCAAGUACGUCGGCACGCAAUUUCCCCCUUCGAUAGCUACAUUCAUACAGGGCAUAUAAGUAUCGCCCAUCGUUGCUGUUACUACACAUAUUCGAUGGGAGUAGAGGUGGAUGCACUACGAGCAGAUUUUCAGAAUAUAUACGUUGCUAGACAAUCAGCUUCAUACUUUAUUGCAUUCGUCACCUCGGACCUCGCAGGCUAGUCCGCGCUUUGUAUAUUUAUUAAUUUUUUUCAAUUGCUUUAAUUAAUCUGAAACGACUAGAGCAGCGUGGUUUGCGAAGCGCAAAACUUAUUCUUGAAUUGCAUGGAGCCUCGAGGGAUCGACGUACGAGAUAAGUUAAUUAAUUAUUUAAUCACGUCGCUUCAUCGACGAGAGUUUGUUAGCUGGGAAACGCGUUGAUCAAUGUUAAGUUUAUCUCACACGUUAUAGGCGUAACGAGUUUGAAACGCUGCUUACAAUGAAAACGCGUUUGAAUAUUGCAGCGAGCUAACGUAGGUAUAGUUGCAGUUGAUAGAAGAGCUGAGACUGGCAGCGGACAGGAAUCUCGCAUUUCUCUACCCCAAGAGAACGUGUCUCUGUAACGAUUCCCAAUUCCUUGAAGAAGGGAAAAUGCGGCGGAAUCCUAGGAAAUCGGGUAUGCGGAUAGUCCGCGUGACCGAAGUGAACCGAAAAAAAGAAAGAAACUUGUAAUACGGGACAGGACGGGGAUAAAGCGAGCUCCGGAGGUGGUACUCGAUAUGAAAAAGUGGACAAAUUACUCCGGGACCCGGGGGACUCUCCAAGUUCCGACCCCGAGGGAGACACUUAAAUCAUUAUUCUGAGCUACCACGGUGCAUCCUGAUGGCAGGCAUAGACGAUCCGUGAUUAUGGGGCUCUGCUCGCUACUAAGCGACGAACCCGGAUUCGCUGCGCUAACUAGCCACCUGGUAAUGUUACGGACUGACUGAGCGGAUGAUUACUCUCCUGUGGUUUUUGUUAGCUAUUAUUUGAAUUUUUUCCUACAUUGGUUUUUGAUUUUUACCCUCAUGGCCCACGUGUAUAUUCACGUGGAUAGAGUUUUGCGAAAUGGAUUCUCGUGGACCUAAUUUUUACUUGAUUGUAAUUAUGAUCGAAAUGGAUGGACUUCUUUUCCGCCUUGUUACGCGCGCAAAUUCACUCGUAUUCGAUUAUGCUUACAAUUUCAGGUCACACAUUAGCGAGCUAUUGUGAUAACGCCAAGUAAUUGAAAUUCGCCAAUGUCAUACCUAACAAUAAGACGGAAAUAAGAACGAUGUAAGCACGCGGUUUCAAUGAUCACUGCAGCAGAGAAACAGUACGGCAAUCAUACAGCAAAACAUGAUAAACGAUCGCUCAAAAUUGUAAAAAAAAAAAAAAC